rnacentral:rRNA from 1 species
GUGGAUUAGAUACCCUGGUAGUCCACGCUGUAAACGUUGUAUACUAGGUGUUAGCGGCUAGUCUGCUAGUGCCGAAGCAAACGCAUUAAGUAUACCGCCUGGGGAGUACGCCCGCAAGGGUGAAACUCAAAGAAAUUGACGGGGGCCCGCACAAGCGGUGGAGCAUGUGGUUUAAUUCGAUGAUACGCGAAAAACCUUACCUGGGCUUGAACUGUGCAUGACCGGCGUAGAGAUGCGCUUUUCCUUCGGGACAUGUACAGAGGUGCUGCACGGCCGUCGUCAACU